GUCGCACUGGCGACGGUCGGCGGCCCCCGCCUGGGGAAUUUUCGAAAGAUCUGACGGUACUUGAUGAAUAAGCCACGGCUAAUUCCGUGCCAGCAGCCGCGGUAAUACGGGAGUGGCAAGCGUUAUCCGGAAUUAUUGGGCGUAAAGCGUCCGCAGGCGGCCCUUCAAGUCUGCUGUUAAAAAGUGGAGCUUAACUCCAUCAUGGCAGUGGAAACUGUUGGGCUUGAGUGUGGUAGGGGCAGAGGGAAUUCCCGGUGUAGCGGUGAAAUGCGUAGAUAUCGGGAAGAACACCAGUGGCGAAGGCGCUCUGCUGGGCCAUCACUGACGCUCAUGGACGAAAGCCAGGGGAGCGAAUGGGAUUAGAUACCCCGGUAGUCA
rnacentral:rRNA from 1 species